AACGAACGCUGGCGGCAGGCCUAACACAUGCAAGUCGAACGCUCCGCAAGGGGAGUGGCGCACGGGUGAGUAACACGUGGGAACCUACCUUCUGGUACGGAACAACCAAGGGAAACUCUGGCUGAUACCGUAUACGACCUCCGGGUGAAAGAUUGAUCGCCGGAAGAGGGGCCCGCGUCCGAUUAGGUAGUUGGUGAGGUAACGGCUCACCAAGCCUGCGAUCGGUAGCUGGUCUGAGAGGAUGACCAGCCACACUGGGACUGAGACACGGCCCAGACUCCUACGGGAGGCAGCAGUGGGGAAUAUUGGACAAUGGGCGCAAGCCUGAUCCAGCCAUGCCGCGUGAGUGAUGAAGGCCUUCGGUUG
rnacentral:rRNA from 1 species